GGGAUAGGGAACUUGGCGCAGCCAUAGAAGUAGAUAAAGCUACCAAGGGCAAAAUAAUGCUCAAGAGGAUCCCCUGGCACAACGCCAUAAGCCAAAUCAGCGAGCGGUGCGGCUUAUGUUAGGUGCAUAUUAUAUUAUCAAACUCAGUAAGUGGCUUUACUCAAAGUAGGAGUAAUGGAGCCGAUAUUUGGUUUCCACACAACUUGUGAAACUGUAUUUCUGACAAGGAAUAUGCCAAAUUGUAUCGCCUAAGGAUUGCCUUCCAGUAUCUGAUCACCAACUGAGCCAAGUGGAACUUGUAAAGGCUCCAGAUAGUCAAAAUCAUCUGUUAUUCCUAUCUCCUUGUACAUGCUUUCAAGCUGCUCUUUAGCCUGAGGGAAGUUGUUUGAACACCAUUGUCGCAAUGUAAAGAUGUUGUCUGUCCAUCUGUUUGCUGCUGCAUGGGCGAUUCCAAUAGCUUUCUCUGCAACAGUUAUUGAUGCCUCAUGCUUAGUGAAAUUUAUCUAGGAUUAUUAAUGCCCUUUAGUCUUCUCAGAAUGAAAAGGUAUUUUAACAGGAAAUACAAUAGUCUAAGCUUCACAAUCAAGAUAAAAAAAUCUCUUAACUCAUUGCUUCAAAGGCAGCAGGAUCAUUAUCUGCAUAUUGACCCAUCUCCUCCUUCAGCUCAUUAUGCUUUAGUUCAAUGGCUUUUAGCUCAGCCAAUGCAUCCUCCCGUUCUUCAGAUUCCUCACGUCCCUUCUUUAAUGCACCACACUGAUCAACAAGUUCUGCAUGCCGCUUCCUUCCGCUUUGCAGAUCGGAUUCAAGUUUGUGAUAAACAUUCCUCGACUGAUUUCCAGCACAACUAGGAAGACUCCAGAAGUAUACAGAAGUUCCUAUUUUGUCUUUUGAAACAAGAUCAUCAUCAACUAAACUCUGGACAACAUCUUUCACAGACUGGCUAAUUACACCUUUCUUGGGACCCAACUUCUCAAGCUCCUUGAGAAGGAAGAAGUUCUGUGACUCGUAAAAUAUCUGAAGAAUCUUCUCACGUUUCUCCUCCAGUGAAAGACCCCGCUUCUUAGACAUCGAGCACCACAAUUAUCCCUCUGUGCAGCUAGUGAAGAAGAAGGGAGUUGAAAAUUGCACAGAAGGCCUCAAGGUAUGAUAAAAGCAUGUUGAUAUUUGGC
rnacentral:misc_RNA from 1 species